rnacentral:rRNA from 1 species
CUGGUCUUGACAUCCACGGAAGUUUUCAGAGAUGAGAAUGUGCCUUCGGGAACCGUGAGACAGGUGCUGCAUGGCUGUCGUCAGCUCGUGUUGUGAAAUGUUGGGUUAAGUCCCGCAACGAGCGCAACCCUUAUCCUUUGUUGCCAGCGCGUCAUGGCGGGAACUCAAAGGAGACUGCCGGUGAUAAACCGGAGGAAGGUGGGGAUGACGUCAAGUCAUCAUGGCCCUUACGAGUAGGGCUACACACGUGCUACAAUGGCAUAUACAAAGAGAAGCGAACUCGCGAGAGCAAGCGGACCUCAUAAAGUAUGUCGUAGUCCGGAUCGGAGUCUGCAACUCGACUCCGUGAAGUCGGAAUCGCUAGUAAUCGUAGAUCAGAAUGCUACGGUGAAUACGUUCCCGGGCCUUGUACACACCGCCCGUCACACCAUGGGAGUGGGUUGCAAAAGAAGUAGGUAGCUUAACCUUCGGGAGGGCGCUUACCACUUUGUGAUUCAUGACUGGGGUG